AUUGAACGCUGGCGGCAGGCCUAACACAUGCAAGUCGAGCGGAUGAAGGGAGCUUGCUCCUGGAUUCAGCGGCGGACGGGUGAGUAAUGCCUAGGAAUCUGCCUGGCAGUGGGGGAUAACGUCCGGAAACGGGCGCUAAUACCGCAUACGUCCUGAGGGAGAAAGUGGGGGAUCUUCGGACCUCACGCUACCAGAUGAGCCUAGGUCGGAUUAGCUAGUUGGUGGGGUAAAGGCCUACCAAGGCGACGAUCCGUAACUGGUCUGAGAGGAUGAUCAGUCACACUGGAACUGAGACACGGUCCAGACUCCUACGGGAGGCAGCAGUGGGGAAUAUUGGACAAUGGGCGAAAGCCUGAUCCAGCCAUGCCGCGUGUGUGAAGAAGGUCUUCGGAUUGUAAAGCACUUUAAGUUGGGAGGAAGGGCAGUAAGUUAAUACCUUGCUGUUUUGACGUUACCAACAGAAUAAGCACCGGCUAACUUCGUG
rnacentral:rRNA from 1 species